AAAUUGAAGAGUUUGAUCAUGGCUCAGAUUGAACGCUGGCGGCAGGCCUAACACAUGCAAGUCGAACGGUAACAGGAAACAGCUUGCUGUUUCGCUGACGAGUGGCGGACGGGUGAGUAAUGUCUGGGAAACUGCCCGAUGGAGGGGGAUAACUACUGGAAACGGUAGCUAAUACCGCAUAACGUCGCAAGACCAAAGAGGGGGACCUUCGGGCCUCUUGCUAUCGGAUGUGCCCAGAUGGGAUUAGCUAGUAGGUGGGGUAACGGCUCACCUAGGCGACGAUCCCUAGCUGGUCUGAGAGGAUGACCAGCCACACUGGAACUGAGACACGGUCCAGACUCCUACGGGAGGCAGCAGUGGGGAAUAUUGCACAAUGGGCGCAAGCCUGAUGCAGCCAUGCCGCGUGUAUGAAGAAGGCCUUCGGGUUGUAAAGUACUUUCAGCGGGGAGGAAGGGAGUAAAGUUAAUACCUUUACUCAUUGACGUUACCCGCAGAAGAAGCACCGGCUAACUCCGUGCCAGCAGCCGCGGUAAUACGGAGGGUGCAAGCGUUAAUCGGAAUUACUGGGCGUAAAGCGCACGCAGGCGGUUUGUUAAGUCAGAUGUGAAAUCCCCGGGCUCAACCUGGGAACUGCAUCUGAUACUGGCAAGCUUGAGUCUCGUAGAGGGGGGUAGAAUUCCAGGUGUAGCGGUGAAAUGCGUAGAGAUCUGGAGGAAUACCGGUGGCGAAGGCGGCCCCCUGGA
rnacentral:rRNA from 1 species